GACGAACGCUGGCGGCGUGCUUAACACAUGCAAGUCGAACGAUGAACCCGGAGCUUGCUCUGGGGGAUUAUUGGCGAACGGGUGAGUAACACGUGAGGAACCUGCCCUUGACUCUGUGAUAAGCGUUGGAAACGACGUCUAAUACCGGAUAGGACCUUUGAUCGCAUGAUCUGGAGUGGAAAGUUUUUUCGGUCUGGGAUGGACUCGCGGCCUAUCAGCUUGUUUGUGAGGUAAUGGCUCACCAAGGCGUCGACGGGUAGCCUGCCUGCGAGGGUGACCGGCCACACUGCGACUGCGAAACGGAGCAGACUGCUACGGGAGGCAGCCGUGGGGAAUAUUGCACAAUGGGCGACAGCCUGAUGCAGCAGCGGGGCGUGCGGGAUGACGGCCUUCGGGUUGUAAAACGAUUUUAGUAGGGAAGAAGGGGUUCGGCUUGACGGUACCUGCAGAAAAAGGACCGGCUAACUACGUG
rnacentral:rRNA from 1 species